GACGAACGCUGGCGGCGUGCCUAAUACAUGCAAGUUGAGCGCUGAAGGUUGGUACUUGUACCAACUGGAUGAGCAGCGAACGGGUGAGUAACGCGUGGGGAAUCUGCCUUUGAGCGGGGGACAACAUUUGGAAACGAAUGCUAAUACCGCAUAAAAACUUUAAACACAAGUUUUAAGUUUGAAAGAUGCAAUUGCAUCGCUCAAAGAUGAUCCCGCGUUGUAUUAGCUAGUUGGUGAGGUAAAGGCUCACCAAGGCGAUGAUACAUAGCCGACCUGAGAGGGUGAUCGGCCACAUUGGGACUGAGACACGGCCCAAACUCCUACGGGAGGCAGCAGUAGGGAAUCCUCGGCAAUAGACGAAAGUCUGACCGAGCAACGCCGCGUGAGUGAAGAAGGUUUUCGGAUCGUAAAACUCUGUUGGUAGAGAAGAACGUUGGUGAGAGUGGAAAGCUCAUCAAGUGACGGUAACUACCCAGAAAGGGACGGCUAACUACGUG
rnacentral:rRNA from 1 species